rnacentral:rRNA from 1 species
UUGAACGCUGGCGGCAUGCCUUACACAUGCAAGUCGAACGGUAACGCGGGGCAACCUGGCGACGAGUGGCGAACGGGUGAGUAAUACAUCGGAACGUGCCCAGUAGUGGGGGAUAGCCCGGCGAAAGCCGGAUUAAUACCGCAUACGACCUAAGGGUGAAAGCAGGGGACCGCAAGGCCUUGCGCUAUUGGAGCGGCCGAUGUCAGAUUAGCUAGUUGGUGGGGUAAAAGCCUACCAAGGCGACGAUCUGUAGCUGGUCUGAGAGGACGACCAGCCACACUGGGACUGAGACACGGCCCAGACUCCUACGGGAGGCAGCAGUGGGGAAUUUUGGACAAUGGGCGCAAGCCUGAUCCAGCCAUGCCGCGUGCGGGAAGAAGGCCUUCGGGUUGUAAAGCUCUUUCAGCCGGGAAGAAAUCACAUGGGUUAAUACCCUGUGUGGAUGACGGUACCGGAAUAAGAAGCACCGGCUAACUACGU